rnacentral:rRNA from 1 species
GACGAACGCUGGCGGCGUGCUUAACACAUGCAAGUCGAACGAUGAAGCCGGAGCUUGCUCUGGUGAAUUAGUGGCGAACGGGUGAGUAACACGUGAGUAACCUGCCCUUGACUCUGGGAUAACUGCUAGAAAUGGUAGCUAAUACCGGAUACGACCCUCGGAGGCAUCUCCAGGGGGUGGAAAGAAUUUCGGUCAAGGAUGGACUCGCGGCCUAUCAGCUAGUUGGUGAGGUAACGGCUCACCAAGGCGACGGCGGGUAGCCGGCCUGAGAGGGUGACCGGCCACACUGGGACUGAGACACGGCCCAGACUCCUACGGGAGGCAGCAGUGGGGAAUAUUGCACAAUGGGCGCAAGCCUGAUGCAGCAACGCCGCGUGAGGGAUGACGGCCUUCGGGUUGUAAACCUUUUUUAGUAGGGAAGAAGCGAAAGUGACGGUACCUGCAGAAAAGGCACCGGCUAACUACGUGCCAGCCGCCGCAGUAA